rnacentral:tRNA from 6 species
GGGUGGAUAGCUCAGUUGGAAGAGCAUCGCCCUUACAAGGCGAGGGUCGGGGGUUCGAGCCCCUCUCCACCCACCA